GAAAUGCGAUAAGUAAUGUGAAUUGCAGAAUUCAGUGAAUCAUCGAAUCUUUGAACGCACAUUGCGCCCGCCAGUAUUCUGGCGGGCAUGCCUGUUCGAGCGUCAUUUCAACCAUCAAGCCCCCGGCUUGUGUUGGGGACCUGCGGCUGUCCGCAGGCCCUGAAAACCAGUGGCGGGCUCGCUGUCACACCGAGCGUAGUAGCAUACAUCUCGCUCAGGGCGUGCUGCGGGUUCCGGCCGUUAAAAGCCUUUUUUACCCAAGGUUGACCUCGGAUCAGGUAGGAAGACCCGCUGAACUUAAGC
rnacentral:misc_RNA from 1 species